rnacentral:tRNA from 1 species
GGGGCCGUAGCCUAGCCAGGUGAGGGAUUAGCACGAAACUAGGCCCCCUUAGGGGCGACGGGCUCCAGACCCGUUGGUCGAGGGUUCAAAUCCCUCCGGCCCCACCA